rnacentral:lncRNA from 10 species
UAAUAUUCCUAUCUUCUGGUAACUCAAACAGUCAUCUACGCACUGCAGAGGUUCUGUUGUUGUAAUUAAAGUCCCAAAUCAGGUUGCCUUAAAAUACCAUGAUUAACUGGCAUGUGCCUCACUUAAGCACACACAUCCUUUAAAAGGUGAUGACAGCGGCAUGAUGGGAAGUCAGGAAGAUUCAAAGCAUAGGAAGGAUUUGACGUGGCAUUGCUGGCUUUGAAAAUGGAAGGCCCACAAGCCUGGGAAUAUAGGUGGCCUCCAGAAGCUGACAACAGCUCCUGGUCAAUAGCCAGCAAAGAAACAGGGACCUCAAUCCUACAGCUGCACAUGACUGAAUUCUGCCGGCAACUGAAUUGACUGACUCUUCUCCAGAUUCCCAGAUCUCCAAAACACAAGAACCAAUGAUAAAAACGGCAAAUUUACAUGCCUACAGAGAACAGGUUGGUAGCAGAGAUGGGGUCUCAUUGUCUUGCCCAGGUGAAGUACACGGGUGUGAUCAUAGCUCACUGAGGCCUUACACUCAUGAGCUCAAGAGAUCCUCCCACCUCAGCCUCACAUGUAGCUGAGAUUACAGGUGUGAGUGUAAUUUUAAGCCCAAGAGGUGGCUAAAGGUGGAUUCCAAGGAUACCAGGAUGAUCAGAACGAAUACGGUCCCUGACCUCAUGCAGUAUCUAUUCUAGUGGAGAAAACAGAUAGGAAACAAUUUUGGAGUGUGACCUGGAUGUGAUGAAAUUCAAACUGCACUGUGCGAGGUUCCAUCGUUUGUGGAGGUAAGGCUAUUUUAAAUGGGAUUAUCAGGGAAUGCCUGUCUGAAAAUCGAGACCUUCACAAUGAAAAUCAGCUAGUCUUACAAACACGCAAAGGGAGAAUAAGGAAUUCAUACUGUUUACCGGACACUGUGGAAGGCACAGAGGAUUCAGUGGUAAGCUUGGAGAUGAAGUUUCUGCCCUCUUGGAGCUUAUAAUAUAAAGAAGGAAGAAAAGAAACUUUACAUUUUGUUUAUUAUUUUUUUUUUUUGGAAGGAAUCAGUAUGACACCAAGAUUUCUGGUUUGAGAAACUGCUUCCCAGAUGGUUCAGGUUCCUUACAAGAGAGGAAAGAAUGAAAGCAAGUUAGCUUUGAAAUGUCCAAGAGAUACCCAAGUAAAGCAGUCAAGUGGACAGAUGUAGAAGUGGUUAAUUCAUUGUAGAGUUCAUUAAUUUUUUUCCCCAAGAACGUUUCAAAGCAAUUGAAAUGACUAAGAUUAUCCAGAGAGAGA